UACGUAGGGGGCAAGCGUUGUCCGGAAUCAUUGGGCGUAAAGAGCGCGUAGGCGGCCAGAUAAGUCCGGUGUGAAAGUCAAAGGCUCAACCUUUGAAUGCCGCUGGAAACUGUCUGGCUAGAGUCCGGGAGGGGCGAGUGGAAUUCCUGGUGUAGCGGUGAAAUGCGCAGAUAUCAGGAGGAACACCAAUGGCGAAGGCAGCGCGCUGGAACGGUACUGACGCUGAGGGACGAAAGCUAGGGGAGCGAACGGG
rnacentral:rRNA from 1 species